rfam:Myotis davidii contig3838, whole genome shotgun sequence.
GCCAAUGUGGCUCAGUGGCUAGAGCAUCAGGCCUGUGGACUGAAGGGUCCCAGGUUCAAUUCCGGUCAAGGGCA